rnacentral:rRNA from 1 species
AGUGAACGCUGGCGGUAGGCCUAACACAUGCAAGUCGAACGGCAGCACAGUAAGAGCUUGCUCUUACGGGUGGCGAGUGGCGGACGGGUGAGGAAUACAUCGGAAUCUACUUUUUCGUGGGGGAUAACGUAGGGAAACUUACGCUAAUACCGCAUACGACCUACGGGUGAAAGCAGGGGAUCUUCGGACCUUGCGCGAUUGAAUGAGCCGAUGUCGGAUUAGCUAGUUGGCGGGGUAAAGGCCCACCAAGGCGACGAUCCGUAGCUGGUCUGAGAGGAUGAUCGGCCACACUGGAACUGAGCCACGGUCCAGCCUCCUACGGGAGGCAGCAGUGGGGAAUAUUGGACAAUGGGCGCAAGCCUGAUCCAGCCAUCCCGCGUGGGUGAAGAAGGCCUUUGGGUUGUAAAGCCCUUUUGUUGGGAAAGAAAAGCAGCAGGUUAAUACCCCGCUGUUCUGACGGUACCCAAAGAAUAAGCACCGGCUAACUUCGUG